rnacentral:rRNA from 1 species
GGAAUUUAGCAAUGGGCGCAAGCCUGAUCUAGCCAUGCCGCGUGUGUGAUGAAGGCCUUAGGAUCGUAAAGCACUUUCGCCAGGGAUGAUAAUGACAGUACCUGUUAAAGAAACCCCGGAUAACUCCGUGCCAGCAGCCGCGGUAUUACGUCGGGGGUUAGCGUUGUUCGGAAUUACUGGGCGUAAAGCGUACGUAAGCGGAUUGGAAAGUAGGGGGUGAAAUCCCAGGGCUCAACCCUGGAACUGACUCCUAAACUAUAAGUCUAGAGUUCGUGAGAGGCGAGUGGAAUUCCAAGUGUAAAGGUGAAAUUCGUAUAUAUUUGGAGGAACACCAUUGGCGAAGGCGGCUCACUGGCUCGAUACUGACGCUGAGGUACUAAAGUGUGGGGAGCACACAGGAUUAGAUACCCUGGUAGUCCACACCGUAAACUAUGAAUG